rnacentral:rRNA from 1 species
AACGAACGCUGGCGGCAUGCCUAACACAUGCAAGUCGAACGAAGUCUUCGGACUUAGUGGCGCACGGGUGCGUAACGCGUGGGAAUCUGCCCUUGGGUGCGGAAUAACUUUUCGAAAGGGAUGCUAAUACCGCAUAAUGUCGUAAGACCAAAGAUUUAUCGCCCAAGGAUGAGCCCGCGUAAGAUUAGCUAGUUGGUGGGGUAAAAAGCCUACCAAGGCGACGAUCUUUAGCUGGUCUGAGAGGAUGAUCAGCCACACUGGGACUGAGACACGGCCCAGACUCCUACGGGAGGCAGCAGUGGGGGAAUAUUGGACAACGGGUGAAAGCCCGAUCCAGCAAUGCCGCGUGAGUGAUGAAGGCCCUAGGGUUGUAAAGCUCUUUUACCAGGGAUGAUAAUGACAGUACCGGGAGAAUAAGCUCCGGCUAACUCCGUGCCAGCAGCCGCGGUAAU